rnacentral:rRNA from 1 species
CCUACGGGUGGCAGCAGUGGGGAAUAUUGCACAAUGGGGGAAACCCUGAUGCAGCGAAGCCGCGUGAGUGAAGAAGUAUUUCGGUAUGUAAAGCCCUAUCAGCAGGGAAGAGAAUGACGGUACCUGACUAAGAAGCCCCGGCUAACUACGUGCCAGCAGCCGCGGUACUACGUAGGGGGCAAGCGUUAUCCGGAUUUACUGGGUGUAACGGGAGCGUAGACGGUUGUGCAAGUCUGAAGUGAAAGCCCGGGGCUCAACUGCGGAACGGCGUUUGAAACUGUGUAACUGGAGUGCUGGAGAGGUAAGCGGAAUUCCUGGUGUAGCGGUGAAAUGCGUAGAGAUCAGGAGGAACACCGGCGGCGAAGGCGGCUUACUGGACAGUAACUGACGUUGAGGCUCGAAAGCGUGGGGAGCAAACAGGAUUAGAUACCCUUGUAGUC